AGACUUUCUUGAGCACGAGGUCUCCUUCUCGGAACACACGAGGCUUGACCUUCUUAUCGAAUGCUUUCUUCAUUCUCUGCUGAUACAACUGACCAUGGCACAUGGCAGUUAAUCGCUUCUCUUCAAUCAAAGUCAGCUGGUCAUAACGACUCUGAAUCCAUACAGCAUCAGUCAACUAGGGACUUGAGGGUAUAAUCAUUUAUUUUAUUUAUUUUUUUAAAAAUUUCUGACUUUGUCUUUUGAUUU
rnacentral:lncRNA from 1 species